UACGAAGGGGGCUAGCGUUGUUCGGAAUUACUGGGCGUAAAGCGCACGUAGGCGGAUAUUUAAGUCAGGGGUGAAAUCCCGGGGCUCAACCCCGGAACUGCCUUUGAUACUGGGUAUCUAGAGUCCAGAAGAGGUGAGUGGAAUUCCGAGUGUAGAGGUGAAAUUCGUAGAUAUUCGGAGGAACACCAGUGGCGAAGGCGGCUACCUGGCCUGUUCUUGACGCUGAGGCGCGAAAGCUAGGGGAGCAAACGGG
rnacentral:rRNA from 1 species